CCCCAGGCGGAGUGCUUAAUGCGUUAGCUGCAGCACUAAGGGGCGGAAACCCCCUAACACUUAGCACUCAUCGUUUACGGCGUGGACUACCAGGGUAUCUAAUCCUGUUUGAUCCCCACGCUUUCGCACAUCAGCGUCAGUUACAGACCAGAAAGUCGCCUUCGCCACUGGUGUUCCUCCAUAUCUCUGCGCAUUUCACCGCUACACAUGGAAUUCCACUUUCCUCUUCUGCACUCAAGUUUUCCAGUUUCCAAUGACCCUCCACGGUUGAGCCGUGGGCUUUCACAUCAGACUUAAAAAACCGCCUACGCGCGCUUUACGCCCAAUAAUUCCGGAUAACGCUUGCCACCUACGUAUUACCGCGGCUGCUGGCACGUAGUUAGCCGUGGCUUUCUGAUUAGGUACCGUCAAGAUGUGCACAGUUACUUACACAUAUGUUCUUCCCUAAUAACAGAGUUUUACGAUCCGAAGACCUUCAUCACUCACGCGGCGUUGCUCCGUCAGGCUUUCGCCCAUUGCGGAAGAUUCCCUACUGCUGCCUCCCGUAGGAGUCUGGACCGUGUCUCA
rnacentral:rRNA from 1 species